rnacentral:rRNA from 1 species
UACGGGGGGGGCAAGCGUUGUUCGGAAUUACUGGGCGUAAAGGGCUCGUAGGCGGCCUUUUAAGUCCUGCGUGAAAUCCUGCGGCUCAACCGCAGACGGUCGUGGGAAACUGGAAGGCUAGAGUGCGGGAGAGGAGAGUGGAAUUCCCGGUGUAGCGGUGAAAUGCGCAGAUAUCGGGAAGAACACCCGUGGCGAAGGCGGCUCUCUGGAACGCAACUGACGCUGAGACGCGAAAGCGUGGGGAGCAAACAGG